GCUAAAGUCGGUACAGCGGCGGGGGUAAAGUGGAGGGUGGAAGCGGUACUCGGAAUGACUGGGCGGAAAGCGAAAGGAGUGUGGUGGAGAAGUUAGAGGUGAAGGCCCCGGGCUCAACCUGGGAAUUGCAUUGAAAACUGUCCAGCUAGAGUCGUGUAGAGGGGGGUAGAAUUCCAGGUGUAGCGGUGAAAUGCGUAGAGAUCUGGAGGAAUACCGGUGGCGAAGGCGGCCCCCUGGACAAAGACUGACGCUCAGGUGCGAAAGCGUGGGGAGCAAACAGGAUUAGAUACCCUGGUAGUC
rnacentral:rRNA from 1 species